CGGCUGAGUAACGCGUGGGUGACGUACCUGUUGGUGGGGAAUAACUGCCCGAAAGGGUGGCUAAUUCCGCAUAAGUCCUUGCAUUCAAUUGGAAGGGGAAAGCUUCGCAAGAGGCGCCGAUGGAGCGGCCCGCGUCCGAUUAGCUUGUUGGUGGGGUAACGGCCUACCAAGGCGACGAUCGGUAGCUGGUCUUAGAGGAUGAUCAGCCAGACUGGGACUGAGACACGGCCCAG
rnacentral:rRNA from 1 species